rnacentral:rRNA from 1 species
UACGAAGGGGGCUAGCGUUGCUCGGAAUCACUGGGCGUAAAGCGCACGUAGGCGGCUUCUUAAGUCAGGGGUGAAAUCCUGGAGCUCAACUCCAGAACUGCCUUUGAUACUGGGGAGCUUCGAGUCCGGGAGAGGUGAGUGGAACUGCGAGUGUAGAGGUGAAAUUCGUAGAUAUUCGCAAGAACACCAGUGGCGAAGGCGGCUCACUGGCCCGGUACUGACGCUGAGGUGCGAAAGCGUGGGGAGCGAACAGG